rnacentral:rRNA from 1 species
CCGCGAUUCGCCCUUCGGGGUGCCCAGGCGCGAAAACUUUACAAUGCGGGAAACCGUGAUAAGGGAACUCCGAGUGCCCGUAAAGUCGGGCUGUCCAUCUGUUUAAAUAACAGGUGAAGAAAGGGCCGGGCAAGACCGGUGCCAGCCGCCGCGGUAAUACCGGCGGCUCGAGUGGUGGCCACUAUUACUGGGCUUAAAGCGUUCGUAGCUGGUCUGUUAAGUCUCUGGGGAAAUCUACUGGCUUAACCAAUAGGCGUUUCAGGGAUACUGGCAGACUAGGGACCGGGAGAGGUGAGGGGUACUCCAGGGGUAGGAGUGAAAUCCUGUAAUCCUUGGGGGACCACCUGUGGCGAAGGCGCCUCACCAGAACGGCUCCGACAGUGAGGGACGAAAGCUGGGGGAGCAAACCGGAUUAGAUACCCGGGUAGUCCCAGCCGUAAACGAUGCGCGUUAGGUGUAUCGGUGACCACGAGUCACCGAGGUGCCGAAGAGAAAUCGUGAAACGUGCCGCCUGGGAAGUACGGUCGCAAGGCUGAAACUUAAAGGAAUUGGCGGGGGAGCAC